AAUUCUAAUAACCGAUAAGAAGUAUAUGUUUAUGGAUUAUUUAAACUUUUAAUUAUUUUCAUUCAUAAGUAAUAUUAAAAAGAAUAUGGAUUAUUAUUAUUGCCUUUUAUACAAAACCCUCUCUCCCGUCAAAUUUCUUCCCCAUCCUUCUUCCAACGGUAACUCUCUCUACUUCCUCUCCCCUCUCCCCUUCUCUUUCGCUCUCUGUGAGUAACCCAUCUUGCCGAUCCACACCAUCAUCUUCUCCUAGCCCUAACGGCGCCAGAAUCAAGAGCGGCAGACCCCUCGGAAACCCAAUUCGUCUUCCAAAGUCCUUUUGUUCCACCGUCACCGUCAGAUCCCGACUCCAUGGUUCUUGAUUCCAAACCCUCGCCGGCUAAGUUGAAGAGCCCGCUUCCACCUAGGUCUCCCUCUUCUAACCCACUUAAGCGGAAGGUAUGAAGACCGUUCCUGAGAAUUCCAUCUCUGGAUUGUCUGAUUCGGGUAUGAAGGUGGUAGUGCGCUUGCUGCCGCCAUCCAAGGACGGAGAUGAAGGGGAUAAUAUAAUACAAAAGGUUAUGUGUCGAUGAAGUUAGCGGACAGUGGGCAGAUGCAGAUGAAUUCUUUAAUGAGGAACAGGCUAUGUGAAAGAGACCAGGCUAUUCGCAAACUGGAAAGGGAAAUAGAAGAUAAAGAUAGGGAAUUGCAAUCAAUUAAAUUAGACAACGACGCAGCUUGGGCCAAGGAUGAUCUUCUGCGGGAACAAGAUAAGGAAAUAGCAACUUAAAGGAACAAGGAUAAUUAAUCAAUGAAAAAGAAAUGAAGAGGUUUAUCCAUGCAAGCUUCAAACCAAAGUCAAGGAUGUCGAUCCUUCCAGGGGAGUCCAAAGUUCCCCCUUAUUCUUCUCCCUUUAUAUUGAUUUUCAAAAGCUUGCAAUUUUUUAAGUGGGGGUGGGCAAUAGCUUACAUGUUUAGUCUAAACUUGGGGGUUCAAAUGUUUUGCCCAAAUUUCAAAAUUUCUAAAAAAAAUUUCCUUACAAUAAGGAGCAUUAUACCUUAUUAGCUUACUUAGAUCUUGCAUAAAAAGCAUGACCGGCAACCCUUGACCACUGAGCUUGGGUUUGUGAUGUAAAAUUCUGAAUGUUGAUGAUUAUAUGUGCUGAAAUUUGAGAAUAAGCUGCCGUCUUUUUUGGUUUA